GCCCGUCUAGCUCAGUUGGUAGAGCUGGUAGAGCGCAAGGCUCUUAACCUUGUGGUCGUGGGUUCCGAGCCCCACGGUGGGCG